rnacentral:rRNA from 1 species
CCUACGUGUGGCAGCAGUGGGGAAUAUUGCGCAAUGGGCGAAAGCCUGACGCAGCGACGCCGCGUGAGGGAUGAAGGUCUUCGGAUCGUAAACCUCUGUCAGCAGGGAAGAACGGUCACUGUGCUAAUCAGCAGUGAAUUGACGGUACCUGCAAAGGAAGCACCGGCUAACUCCGUGCCAGCAGCCACGGUAAUACGGAGGGUGCGAGCGUUAAUCGGAAUUACUGGGCGUAAAGCGCUCGUAGGCGGUAUGUCAAGUCAAGGGUGAAAUCCCCGCGCUCAACGUGGGAACUGCCUUUGAAACUGGCAAACUGGAGUGUGUGAGAGGAUAGUGGAAUUCCAGGUGUAGGAGUGAAAUCCGUAGAUAUCUGGAGGAAAAUCAGUGGCGAAGGCGACUAUCUGGCACAUAACUGACGCUGAGGAGCGAAAGCGUGGGUAGCAAACAGGAUUAGAUACCCCAGUAGUC